rnacentral:rRNA from 1 species
UACAGAGGGGGCAAGCGUUGUUCGGAAUUACUGGGCGUAAAGGGCGCGUAGGCGGCCUGCUAAGUCGAACGUGAAAUCCCUGGGCUCAACCCAGGAACUGCGUCCGAUACUGGUUGGCUUGAAUCCGGGAGAGGGACGUGGAAUUCCAGGUGUAGCGGUGAAAUGCGUAGAUAUCGGGAGGAACAUCAGUGGCGAAGGCGGCCAUCUGGGACAACACUGACGCUGAAGCACGAAAGCGUGGGGAGCAAACAGG